rnacentral:rRNA from 1 species
CGGAGUAGUGUACCUCGGCGUCAGGAUGAACGCUGGCGGCGGUGCCUAACACAUGCAGUCGAACGGGGCGCGCAGGCUGAGGCUUUUCGGAGCGGAAGCCGGCGCUGCCCAGUGGCGGACGGGUGAGUACGCGUGGGCAACCUGCCCUGCACUGGGGGACAACAGCCGGAAACGGCUGCUAAUACCGCAUAUGCCCGCAGCCCGCAUGGGGCGGCGGGGGAAGCUCCGGCGGUGCAGGAUGGGCCCGCGUCUGAUUAGCUGGUUGGCGGGGCAACGGCCCACCAAGGCGACGAUCAGUAGCCGGCCUGAGAGGGUGGGCGGCCACAUUGGGACUGAGACACGGCCCAGACUCCUACGGGAGGCAGCAGUGGGGGAUAUUGCACAAUGGGGGGAACCCUGAUGCAGCGACGCCGCGUGGGCGAUGGAGUGCUUCGGCAUGUAAAGCCCUAUCAGCAGGGAAGAAAAUGACGGUACCCGACUAAGAAGCCCCGGCUAAAUACGUG